UACGUAGGGUGCAAGCGUUGUCCGGAAUUAUUGGGCGUAAAGAGCUUGUAGGCGGUUUGUCGCGUCUGCUGUGAAAUUUCGGGGCUCAACCCCGAGCCUGCAGUCGAUACGGGCAAACUAGAGUGUAGUAGGGGAGACUGGAAUUCCUGGUGUAGCGGUGAAAUGCGCAGAUAUCAGGAGGAACACCGGUGGCGAAGGCGGGUCUCUGGGCAGUAACUGACGCUGAGGAGCGAAAGCGUGGGGAGCGAACAGG
rnacentral:rRNA from 1 species